GUGCUCACUUCGGCAGCACAUAUACUAAAACUGAAACAAUACAGAGAUUAGCCUGGCCCCUGUGCAAGGAUGACACGGAAAUUCAUGAAGCAUUCCAUAUUUAA
ensembl:snRNA U6 U6 spliceosomal RNA